rnacentral:sRNA from 1 species
GAAAUUAAUUUGAGGAGGAUGCUGAAAGGAAAGGUAAUGGAGGCUUACCAGAAAGGGGACGCCAAAGUUAAUGAUUUGCACACGCUUAAAGGUCGAUGCAUCUUGACCUGCCGCUUUUCCACAAAGCUUAAACCCCCAAUCCUAGCGCGGUGAUUUUAGCUCAGCGAUGGGCUGGAUUCGAGUGGUUGGGAUAAAACCCUUUUCGGGUGCUUGUUGUUUUGUUACUGUUUUGAGGUCGGUAUCCGUUGUGUUUUUCCGACAGACACUGUUCCAUGCAAUUACUCGAUCGGCUCCU